rnacentral:rRNA from 1 species
GACGAACGCUGGCGGCGUGCUUAACACAUGCAAGUCGAGCGGUAAGGCUCCUUCGGGAGUACACGAGCGGCGAACGGGCGAGUAACACGUGAGCAAUCUGCCCUUCACACGGGGAUAACUUCGGGAAACCGAAGCUAAUACCCGAUACGACCACUUCAGGCAUCUGAUGGUGGUGGAAAGUUCCGGCGGUGAAGGAUGAGCUCGCGGCCUAUCAGCUUGUUGGUGGGGUAAUGGCCCACCAAGGCAACGACGGGUAGCCGGCCUGAGAGGGUGACCGGCCACACUGGGACUGAGACACGGCCCAGACUCCUACGGGAGGCAGCAGUGGGGAAUAUUGGACAAUGGGCGAAAGCCUGAUCCAGCAACGCCGCGUGAGGGAUGACGGCCUUCGGGUUGUAAACCUCUUUCAGCAGGGACGAAGCGCAAGUGACGGUACCUGCAGAAGAAGCACCGGCCAACUACGUGCCAGCAGCCGCGGUAACAC